UGCUUAAUUCCAUGUCCUCCCGUCCCGACCGACUAAGCUCAUGAGAAGAACAAGGCGCUUCUGCGCGUCUAUUUCUCCCCGUGGAGAUCAAAGUCGUGUUUAAUUAAGUCGGAGCGUGAAACAUUUUGCCACCGAAUUCCCUCCCUCCCUCUUCUGAAGAGAUGUAUAUCGUUCGCUUUCUAUAGAGAGAGGAAACCAGAUGCUUUGAACGGAAGGUAGGGGAAACGAACAGCAGCACGCGCCCCUUUGGCACAUAGAUAAGAUGGCGAUUCAGAGGGGAAGCACCCUGCUCCCCGCCGCGGCCUUCGCAGUCUCUCGCCGGAACCCUUGAUGUACCAUGCCCACUACCACAACCGCCUGAGGAGCUGGCCUAACACUUGGUUCGCUGCCGCUGCCGUUGACAAACCCCUCAAGCAUGUGGUCUUCAAGAUGCAGCUCAGUGACCAAACCCCUACCAUAGAAGAUCCCGCGCCGCGGCAGCGGCACGACGGCGACGGCGGCGGCGGCGCCGACCUCACAGCGCUGUUCUCCGACAAGCUCCUCCUCCGCAUCCUCGCUGCCGUACCGGACCCCCUCCGCCUCCCCGCCUCCCUCGUCUGCAAGCGAUGGCUCCGCCUCGUCGGCCGCCUGCGCCACUCCCUUACCCUCCUCGACUGGUCCUUCCUCGACAGCGGCCGCCUCUUCCUCCGCUUCCCCGACCUCGCUGAGCUCGACCUCGUCCCUGGCUCCUUCGCGUCCCCUUCGUCCGUAGCUGCCAGGGGCCGCGUCCUGCUUUCCUGGGGUCCUUUCUCUGUCACGGUCGACACCAACGCCGACUCUCCUGUAGGUGAGUGCUGCUUCCUCGACCCGGACGUCAUCGAUCGCGGCCUCGAGACCGUCGCCCGCAGCUGCCCUGGCCUUCGGAAGCUCUCCCUCGUCGCCAGUGACUCGGAGGCCGGCCUCAUGGCGAUCGCUGGAGGGUGCGACACUAUGCAGGAGCUGGAGCUCCAUCGGUGUUCCGACCUCGCCCUCCGCCCCAUCUUCGCCUUCAAGAACCUCCAGAUACUGCGGCUGGUGGGAUCCGUUGACGGGCUCUACUGCGGGCCUCGCGUCACGGACAUUGGGCUCACCAUACUGGCCCAUGGGUGCAAGCGGCUGGUGAAGCUGGAGCUCAGUGGGUGUGAGGGUAGCUACGACGGGAUCUCUGCCAUAGGGCGGUGCUGCAUGAUGCUUGAGGAAUUGACGAUCUCCGACCACCGGAUGGACGAUGGUUGGCUGGCGGCGUUAUCCUUCUGCGGAAACCUGAAGACGCUGAGAAUGCAGAGCUGUAGGAGGAUAGAUGCUGAUCCAGGGCCAUCGGAGCACCUCGGGACAUGCCCUGCCAUCGAGACGCUGCAGAUGCAGCGGUGCCAGCUGCGGGAUAAAAGAAGCUUACAAGCACUGUUUAUGGUGUGCGAGGCAGUUAGGGAUGUUGUGUUUGAAAAUUGUUGGGGGUUGGACAACAACAUGUUCGCGCUUGUGAGCAUUUGCAGGUAUGCAUGUUUCUCUAUGUUUCUUGGAUUUACCCCCUAAUUUUCUGUCGUUUUAUGAUAGUAAUUGCUGCCAUUUCUUGGGUUUGAUGAUGUGCCGGAAACUGUGUGGUUCCGUAGUGAUAGAAAAGCACAUUACAGAAGCUGAAGAUCAAAUUUGGUCCAAGUUAUAUCUUCACUCCUAGACUAUUUUUCCUGGACCGCUAAGCUAACUUUGCCACUGAAGAAACUUCAAGUUUCUGAUUUACCCCCUAAUUUGCUGUCAUUUUAUGAUAGUAAUUGUUGCCAUUUCUUCGUUUUAGCAUUUGCAGGUAUGCAUGUUUCUCUAUGUUUCUUGGAUUUACCCCCUAAUUUUCUGUCGUUUUAUGAUAGUAAUUGCUGCCAUUUCUUGGGUUUGAUGAUGUGCCGGAAACUGUGUGGUUCCGUAGUGAUAGAAAAGCACAUUACAGAAGCUGAAGAUCAAAUUUGGUCCAAGUUAUAUCUUCACUACUAGACUAUUUUUCCUGGACCGCUAAGCUAACUUUGCCACUGAAGAAACUUCAAGUUUCUGAUUUACCCCCUAAUUUGCUGUCAUUUUAUGAUAGUAAUUGUUGCCAUUUCUUCGUUUUAGCAUUUGCAGGUAUGCAUGUUUCUCUAUGUUUCUUGGAUUUACCCCCUAAUUUUCUGUCGUUUUAUGAUAGUAAUUGCUGCCAUUUCUUGGGUUUGAUGAUGUGCCGGAAACUGUGUGGUUCCGUAGUGAUAGAAAAGCACAUUACAGAAGCUGAAGAUCAAAUUUGGUCCAAGUUAUAUCUUCACUCCUAGACUAUUUUUCCUGGACCGCUAAGCUAACUUUGCCACUGAAGAAACUUCAAGUUUCUGAUGUUUGCAAUUGCCAGCAGAUUGGCAGCCAGUCAUGGUUAAGGCACACAGGCUGCCAAUCUCCUUUAUGACCAGUGCAGCACAAUGUGCACCUUUUGGUGUUGUUGCCAGGGAGCUACCAUAUGAAGCUUGCUGUAACACAACUCAUCGUCGGAGUUUAAUUGCCUGUUGGUGACUAUUUGUUAUGUCACCUAUACUGUAGCGGAGGGUGAAGUUUCUCUCACUGGAAGGAUGCUCGCUUGUAACAACUGAAGGUUUCGAGUCGGUAGUUCUAUCCUGGAUGGAUUUGCAGAGACUCACCGUCAUCUCGUGCAACAAUAUAAAGGAUGGCGAAGUAUCUC